rnacentral:lncRNA from 1 species
UUUGUAGGACGCAAUAUUCUAUAGUGUGCAUUUUUUGACUUGGCACGGGUGCCAUGAUUGGGGACUCGCAAGUUUUUGGAUCCGUCAGUCAUCACUUCCCAUGAAACUGUCACCAGAAGAAAAUCCUCUCACUUCCCAUGAAACUGUCACCAGAAGAAAAUCCUCUCACUUCCCAUGAAACUUUCACCAGAAGAAAAUCCUCUUUGUUUCUUUGGCAAUACCCGACUAUGAAGCUGAUCCUCCUGUCUUUGUGGAUGUUCUCGU